rnacentral:rRNA from 1 species
GUUUGAUCAUGGCUCAGGAUGAACGCUGGCGGCGUGCUUAACACAUGCAAGUCGAACGAACCUUCGGGUUAGUGGCGGACGGGUGAGUAACGCGUGAGAAUCUGCCCUCAGGAGGGGGAUAACGGUUGGAAACGACCGCUAAUACCCCAUAUGCCUAUUGGUGAAAUGAAUUUCGCCUGAGGAUGAGCUCGCGUCUGAUUAGCUAGUUGGUGAGGUAAUGGCUCACCAAGGCUUCGAUCAGUAGCUGGUCUGAGAGGAUGAUCAGCCACACUGGGACUGAGACACGGCCCAGACUCCUACGGGAGGCAGCAGUGGGGAAUUUUCCGCAAUGGGCGAAAGCCUGACGGAGCAACGCCGCGUGAGGGACGAAGGCCUCUGGGCUGUAAACCUCUUUUCUCAAGGAAGAAGAUAUGACGGUACUUGAGGAAUAAGCCACGGCUAAUUCCGUGCCAGCAGCCGCGGUAAUACGGGAGUGGCAAGCGUUAUCCGGAAUUAUUGGGCGUAAAGCGUCCGCAGGCGGCUUUUCAAGUCUGCUGUUAAAGCGUGGAGCUUAACUCCAUCAUGGCAGUGGAAACUGAAAGGCUUGAGUAUGGUAGGGGCAGAGGGAAUUCCCGGUGUAGCGGUGAAAUGCGUAGAUAUCGGGAAGAACACCAGUGGCGAAGGCGCUCUGCUGGGCCAUUACUGACGCUCAUGGACGAAAGCCAGGGGAGCGAAAGGGAUUAGAUACCCCUGUAGUCCUGGCCGUAAACGAUGAACACUAGGUGUCGGGGGAAUCGACCCCUUCGGUGUCGUAGCUAACGCGUUAAGUGUUCCGCCUGGGGAGUACGCACGCAAGUGUGAAACUCAAAGGAAUUGACAGGGGCCCGCACAAGCGGUGGAGUAUGUGGUUUAAUUCGAUGCAACGCGAAGAACCUUACCAGGGUUUGACAUCCUGCGAACCUCUUAGAAAUUUGAGGGUGCCUUCGGGAAUGCAGUGACAGGUGGUGCAUGGCUGUCGUCAGCUCGUGUCGUGAGAUGUUGGGUUAAGUCCCGCAACGAGCGCAACCCACGUUUUUAGUUGCCAGCAUUUAGUUGGGCACUCUAGAAAGACCGCCGGUGAUAAACCGGAGGAAGGUGUGGAUGACGUCAAGUCAUCAUGCCCCUUACACCCUGGGCUACACACGUACUACAAUGCUACGGACAAAGGGCAGCAAACUCGCGAGAGCUAGCAAAUCCCAUAAACCGUGGCUCAGUUCAGAUCGUAGGCUGCAACUCGCCUACGUGAAGUAGGAAUCGCUAGUAAUCGCAGGUCAGCAUACUGCGGUGAAUACGUUCCCGGGCCUUGUACACACCGCCCGUCACACCAUGGAAGUUGGCCAUGCCCGAAGUCGUUACUCCAACCCUUGUGGAGGAGGACGCCGAAGGUGGGGCUAAUGACUGGGGUGAAGUCAUAACAAGGUAGCCGUA